GACGAACGCUGGCGGCGCACCUAAGACAUGCAAGUCGAACGGUUUCUUCUUUUCGGGGGAGAGAUAGUGGCGGACGGGUGAGUAACACGUGGAGGACCUGCCCCGCGGUGGGGAAUAACGGCCGGGAAACCGGCGCUAAGACCGCAUACGAGCGGCGCCAUAGGGGGCGUCGCGGAAAUGCGUCCCGCGGAGGGACGCAGCCGUGGGA
rnacentral:rRNA from 1 species